rnacentral:lncRNA from 1 species
CGAGGGCGAUUUUGCGUUCAAGGAAGCAUGGUUCCAUCUGUACGAUGAUUACCCAGUCAAACACGAAUCCGAUCGUCUCCCUCCUCCUCUUGUAGCUGACCUCAACGGCGAUGGCAAGAAGGAGGUCCUCGUCGCUACAAACGAUGCCAAAAUUCAGGUAAAACGGAAUGAUUCGCAGCUUAAUGCUUAUGGCUUAGCUAUUACGCGGUGUUGGAUCAAGUGCUAACCUGUGUUAUGGAUGGUGGAUUAGGUCCUGGAGCCUCACUCCAGGCGUGUGGAUGAAGGCUUCAGUGAAGCACGUGUUCUUGCUGAUAUCUCCCUUUUGCCUGACAAGAUCCGUGUCGCCUCCGGGAGACGCGCUGUGGCCAUGGCCACUGGUGUUAUCGAUAGGUACUAUAAAGAUGGGACACCGCAGAAGCAGGUUUUGGUCGUUGUUACCUCUGGUUGGUCUGUGCUCUGCUUUGAUCACAACCUCAAAAAGCUCUGGGAAACGAAUCUCCAGGUUUAUUUUUUUUUUACAUCCUCGUUGUCCUUUGUUCUGUAUGUUAUUGUCUUCUUCUUACUGAUAUUGAUUGGAAUAUCAGGAGGAUUUUCCACAUAAUGCACACCAUAGAGAGAUAUCAAUUUCGAUUAGCAAUUAUACGUUGAAGCACGGUGAUACUGGUUUGGUUAUUGUUGGUGGAAGGAUGGAGAUGCAGCCUUAUGUAUGUACAAGGCAACAUUUUCCACUUGGUUUUGGAUUGUGUUAAUUAAUAAUGGAUUUUUCUUGUCGUCUUAGAAUCAUAUGGACCCAUUUGAGGAACUUGGCAUUACAGAACAAAAUGCUGAGAAACACAGGAGAAGUGCUACUGAGAAACAGGUACGAAAAGAUGUGGAGUUAUUAUAUCUGGUAGUAAUAAAGAUGUUCUUGUGGCACAUUUUGUCUAGGAGAUGUGUUUGGAAUAACUUUAAGCUUCUUUUCAGCCCACUGAAGAUACGGGAGGUGUAAACUUGCGUCACUUUUCGGUUUAUGCAUUCGCUGGCCGGACUGGUGUUCUUCGUUGGAGUAAAAAGACUGAUGUCAGUUAUUUCUCCUUUAUGCCCACUUCUUUCUUUACAUAUAGCUUACCUGUAUUCUUAACUGCAUCAGAUUUGCUGGUCGAAUUGAUAGAAUAUUGUUUUGCUUCGCUUCUAGGAUGUUGAAGCUCACACCUCAGAUGCGUCACAGCUAGUUCCCCAACACAAUUACAAGCUCGACGUGCAUUCUAUAAAUAGCCGUCACCCUGGAGAGGUAAAGUUAACUCGUUCUUCAUUGAUCAUUGAGCGAUGUGUAGCCUGUUCUAGUUGCCUUUUAGGAGAUUUAUAAUUGCUUUGGAAACUGAGAUGUGCUGGACUGAAGUUUGAAUGCAGGGAAUUUAGAGAAUCAAUUCUUAGUGUUAUGCCUCAUCACUGGGUAAGUCUUAUGCUUCCUACUACAUGCUUCGGCUCCUUAGUCUAAUAUGCUUUAAAAUAUUCUGUUCUUAAGGACGUUGUUGUCUUUGUAUCCAGGACCGACGGGAAGAUACAUUAUUAAAGCUUGCUCAUUUCAGGCGACACAAGAGGAAGACAUUGAAGAAGCAAGCUGGUAAGUCUACAACUUUUCCGUUUCAAAAACCUGAGGAACACACACCAGCUGGGAAAGACUUGUCGAGAAAGAUUCCGAAAUUGAUUGGGAAGGCUGCACGUUAUGCUGGCUCGGCAAAACCCAAGAAGGUGAAAGCUCUUACUAAACGUGAAGUACCCACAUAAAAACACUCAUAUUGUGUAUAGGACAGCUAAGCACAUGUUGUUGCAGGGCAUGCAAUACAUACCGACUAUAACUAACUACACUAAGCUUUGGUGGGUUCCUAAUGUUGUUGUGGCUCACCAAAAAGAAGGAAUUGAAGCUAUUCAUUUGCCUACUGGUCGAACUCUUUGCAAGGUAGCUGUUCCUUCAAAUCAUGAACAAAAGCUUUACAAUAUCACGAACCCGUUUUUAAUAUGUUAGCUUCCUUAAACUCAGCUUCAUCUGCUGGAAGGUGGGCUUCACGCCGACAUAAACGGAGAUGGUGUACUCGAUCAUGUCCAGGUACACAUUAGACACAUCUCCCGCUUUCCCUUCAUUGUCUUUACAAUGGAUCUUCAAUACUUUACAUUCUCUGUGCGCACCUUAGGCUGUCGGAGGCAAUGUUGGAGAGAGAACUGUAGUUAGCGGAUCAAUGGAAGUAUUGAAGCCUUGCUGGGCAGUGGCAACCUCAGGCGUUCCCGUCCGAGAACAGCUCUUCAACGUCUCGAUCUGCCAUCACACCCCCUUCAACUUCAUGCACUACGGAGAGUUUUCACGAAACUUUGCUCAGGCAAGAGACACAUCCUCUUUGGAGAUUGCGACUCCCAUUCUCAUCCCCAGAGAUGACGGUCAUAAACACCGAAGAGGAAGUCACGGAGAUGUAAUCUUCUUGACAAAUCGUGGAGAGGUACUUUUUCUGAUGAUCCAAUCUCUUUUAACUUUGAAUCUCGUUCAAUAGCUCAUAGCGUUCCCUACCAGGUGACAUCAUACACGCCUGAUAUGCACGGCCGCGAGCCGCUCUGGCAGUGGCAGCUUCAGACAGAAGCCACAUGGUCGAAUCUCCCAUCUCCAUCUGGUUUAACCGAGUCAGGGACAGUGGUCCCAACCCUGAAACCAUUCUCGUUGCGCAUUCAUGAUAACCAGCCUAUGAUCCUCGCCGGAGGAGAUCAAGCGGCAGUCAUCAUAUCUCCAGGAGGAAGCGUAUUGGCUUCCAUCGAGUUACCGUCACUGCCGACUCAUGCUCUCAUCACUGAUGACUUCUCUAACGACGGAUUAACGGAUGUAAUUGUGAUGACAUCAAAUGGGAUAUACGGGUUCGUUCAGACCAGACAGCCAGGUGCUCUGUUCUUCAGUUCGUUGGUGGGGUGUAUCUUGGUAGUAAUGGCAGUUAUUUUCGUAACUCAGCACUUAAACUCCGUUAAAGGUAAGCCUCGACCUUCCUCUAGCUUUAUUUAAAUAUAUAAAGCCUCAGGGGGUUUUCUUCUUCUCUACGGAAGUUGAACCGGUCCUAUUAGCGGCGGCGCUUUACCCACACCGGUUUUGGUAUACCGAAGUAGAUUCAGCGUUUCAGCUUUGUAAUUUUAUUAUAAACUUUUACAGAAUUCUAUAAGUGAAAAUGGUAGAGGCGAAUGUUAGGACUUUUUUUGCUUCUCUCAGUUUUAAUGUUUAAGUUGCAAGUGUUGCUGUGACAUUUAUUUAAUCAAAAGAGAUUUUUCUAACACUGGUCAAAUCGUUAUAUAUCCUUAUAUAAUCUGGAUUUCUGGAGACUAGAUACAUCUCAAACUGAAAAGAAUGUUUCUGAAAUUUGCAAUUGAAUCAGCACAUUACAAUACAUUUAUCAAGCAUUUUCGAAUUUCAAUUUAAAAAAAUAAAUUUAUAAUUUUUUUUUUUAAUUUUGGAAAUAUUCCGAGGAAGUUUAUCCCUCAGAAUAUUCCGACGACAUCUUUCUCGGAAUAUUCCGAGGAAUUUCCGACGAACUUGUGGUCCUCGGAAAUUCCGAGGAAAUAGGGUUUCCUCGGAAUUCCGUCGGAAAUUUCCGAGGGAUUUCCGAGGAAAAAUGAAUUUCCGAGAAGUUAUUUACGAGGAUUUUUUUCGUCGGUAUGUCGUCGGAAUAGCGUUAUUCCGAGGACAUACCGACGAUUUUUUCUCUCAGUAUGCCGCUGUUUUAUUGUAGUGUGAUGUCUACAAAGGAAUGAUAGUUGGAACUUGCUGGUGAGUUUCAUACUUUACCGUGGCGUGCACCAUCUCUUGUUGUUGGCCACAAAGGAAUGCGAGUGUUAGUGUGUUACGACGACGUUAGGAACAACGAUAAUGGCUACUCAACUGUUUGGCUCCUUGGUUUAAAUUAAUACUUCUCGAAGGAUUAAAGAAAGACGACAUAACGUUCGGUCCUUAUUAUCUAAACGGCAAGCUUUUUUAGUUAUGACAUAUGAAACGUCUAAUACGGCAUCAUUUUCACCGAAUACUGACCCAAGGUCGCCUGGUUCUCGACGAUUCAUCGCUCCCUCACCUCUCUCUCGCACCUACCGAUGCAAAUCUGCCAUUGAUUGAUUACAUCUGCUCCGACGUCAAAACGAAGAUGAGGAAACGCGAUUUGGCAAUUUUGAUGCUCUCUGGAUUUGCAAUCUUCUUCACUCUUCAGGUGAUUUCCCCUCACUAAUCACAGUAUAUAAGCUUCUAGAACCAUUCAUCGAUCUGUUGCUAGAGCUUAGAAAUCGAGUGCGAACUCGUUCUAUGAGUGUAGAGUUUCUCAGAUGGAAUCUUAUUGAUCCGUAUGUAUUUCAAUUGCGCGUUAUUGAUUGUUGAUUUUGCUCAGCACGAGGGCGAUUUUGCGUUCAAGGAAGCAUGGUUCCAUCUGUACGAUGAUUACCCAGUCAAACACGAAUCCGAUCGUCUCCCUCCUCCUCUUGUAGCUGACCUCAACGGCGAUGGCAAGAAGGAGGUCCUCGUCGCUACAAACGAUGCCAAAAUUCAGGUAAAACGGAAUGAUUCGCAGCUUAAUGCUUAUGGCUUAGCUAUUACGCGG